rnacentral:lncRNA from 1 species
GCUUCGUGUAUUUACACUCUCAGCCCCCCGACUGGGAAAACAUCUUCAUCGUCUUCCUCACCAUGGUGUCUGCUCCGUCAUGUUCAGGGCACUCUGGCUAAUAUGACAGUUCUGGUGGCGCUGUAAGGACUCGGUUUCUUCAAUGCCAGCAACUUCCUCUAUCAGAAGACUCAGCCUUUCCUUCUCGUGCAGUUAUCUGCCUCCUGGAGGAAAUCAGGAUGAUGUCAAGGAUGAUGAUGGUCUUCAUCUCUGGAAAAGACCACCAAUGAGGCAGCAGGUUACACACAAUCAGCGGCUGGACGCGCUGUUUGGGCCCAGCGGCCGCAUUGCUCGUGGUUCAGGCAGUCUCCUUCUGGAUAAAAGACUUUGGAUACUCCAGGAGUUGGCCUAAUGCCUUCAGCAUGCCAGCAUCGAUAGCCAUCUGGGUCUGUUGGUCUGUUCCUGUGGCAACGCUGCGCUCAGUGCAGAGAGAAGAUGUCAAGGCAUUGAGAUCCCAGUUGGUCACAAACUCUAAGAGCCUGUACAGAAGCCCUGUGGUCGUCACAUGAUGAUGUGCUUAGUGCAUCCUUCAGUGAGGUGGGACAGGGCAGGGCCCAGGAGGUGUCUGAGAGGGAUCCCAUUAUUCCAAUGCCACAGGAGCUGAGAGGGUAUAGACAGCACCUACCUCACUACCUCCGCACAAGGUUAGGGAUUCUUCUUUCGGCAUAUGUUGGACAAAGCCCAUAUGAUGUUCCGAAAAAUGUGAUUGGUAUGCUUGUCGAAAUAAGGUUGAGGCAGGCACAGGAUGGCACUGUUGGAAAUGAUAUUGUCUCUGGAUUCUGGGCUGUCACCAGGCACAUUACUAAGAGUCCACACUGCCUGCUCACACAGGUCAGGUGCAGGGGAGACAGGAGUCCAGUCGGGGGCUGGAUGGCACCCCUUUUCACAACAGCUCUGGUCUGCUCUGAAAGCCCAGGUCGCAUCAAACUUCAGGCUGGGAAGAAGUGCCUCCUUCAAGAACAAUACCAAGUUGGGAAUGAGUUCUGCCGCAACAUGCAAUUUUAGUGAGGGGCUCCUCUCCCGGGGUACCACUUUCCUGGCAGCCUGCGUGGCCAGGAGACACAGGAUUGGAUCUGAGCUAUUCGCCUUUUGACUAUGUCUUCCAGAGUGAGGUUGGACACUUUGACUGGUACUUGAGAACCCACAUCAUUGGA